UAUGGACCGUACCCGAAACCGACACAGGUGGGCAGGUUGAAUAUACCAAGGCGCUC
rnacentral:rRNA from 1 species